rnacentral:lncRNA from 1 species
CAUUCUCUAUAAGUAAAGAGUUGCCCCAGGAUAUAUUACACAAAACCAAGAUUAUAUGUAACUUGCAAAUCUGCUACCACUUGGGUAAUGGGUCUUGACUACUUGAAGAUUGAUAUGCCUUGCAAGUUACUAGAGUCAAUACAAUGGCAUAACUAUCAAAGCAGAUUUGAGACAAAAUGACAUAACAUCAGUGGCCUGAGCUUGAAUGCACAUCUACCCUCUUGACGAGUGCUGUAUUCUAGUGAGAAGAACCAUUGUGUAAAACCUCUUUGUCC